UACGAAGGUCCCGAGCGUUAUCCGGAUUUAUUGGGUUUAAAGGGUGCGUAGGCGGGUUAUUAAGUCAGUGGUGAAAGCCUACAGCUUAACUGUAGAAUUGCCAUUGAUACUGAUGAUCUUGAGUAUGAUUGAGUGGGCGGAAUGUGUCAUGUAGCGGUGAAAUGCUUAGAUAUGACACAGAACACCGAUUGCGAAGGCAGCUCACUAAGUCAUAACUGACGC
rnacentral:rRNA from 1 species